rnacentral:rRNA from 1 species
GACGAACGCUGGCGGCGUGCUUAACACAUGCAAGUCGAACGGAAAGGCCCUGCUUUUGUGGGUUGCUCGAUUGGCGCACGGGUGAGUAACACGUGAGUAACCUGCCCUUGACUUUGGGAUAACUCCAGGAAACUCGGGCUAAUACCGGAUAGGAGCUCCUGCUGCAUGGUGGGCAUUGGAAAGUUUCGGCGGUUGGGGCUGGACUCGCGGGUUAUGAGCUUGUUGGUGGGGUAGUGGCGUACCAAGGCUAUGACGGGUAGCCGGCCUGAGAGGGUGACCGGCCACAAGGGGACUGCGGGACGGACCAGACGGCUACGGGAGGCAGCAGUGGGGAAUAUUACACAACGGGCGGACGCCUGAUGCAGAAACGCCGGGAUCGGGAUGACGGCCUUCGAGUUAUAAACAGCUUUCGCAGGUGACGAAGCGUGAGUGACGGUAACGAGUAAAGAAGCAACGGCUAACUACGUG